rnacentral:rRNA from 1 species
AUGCAAAUUGACCCUCUUCUAUUUGUCACUCUUCCUGAUGGAGAUUACAAACCUCGACAUGUUCCUACAUCGUCAAGCAAUCAAAGGGACCUUGAUUCUUGUAUUGAUUUAUUGCUAAAGUUACAUUGUCAUAGGUUCAAUAUGACGCCAAAUAGGGCUAAGUGGACAGCAAGGUAUGAGAAAGGCCUCGUGGAGGUACUUAGAGAGUACAAUCUAUCUCAUUACCGUGGACAAAAUGGGUGGACUACGGAAGGUUGGAAUCAAGUUGUCAAGGAACUGAACAAUUUAUAUCCAGAGGCAAGGUUUACCAAGGAUCAGGUUCAAGAUAAGGAAGCUCAGUUGAAAAAGCACUACAAAAAUAUCAAGUUGAUAGUCAACCGCUCUGGAAUAUCAUGGAAUGAUAUUGCAUGUGUGAUCAACACCACGCCUGAAAAAUGGGAAGAGAUCAUUGCAGAGGACCCAAAGCUCAAAAUGUAUGAAGGAAAGAGCUUCCCAUUGUACGAGGCAUUGGGUGUGCUCUAUGAAGGACAUAUUGCGCAAGGAAGACAUUGCCUGACAUCAAGGAAGCCUCCGAUUGGCACAAAAACAGGUAGCAACUUUGGAGCAAAGGAUAAGAUGGUUGCAAGAACUAGCAAGAAAAAUACAAGACAUGGAAGAGAUGACAACAUAAGGACUUCUUCAAUAAUUGACAUCAAUGAUACUCCUACAUUAGAUGAUGUGGAUGAAAGAGAGAACACUGUCAAUGACGAGGAAGAAUUAGGCAGUGAAGAUGCUGAUGGUGAUCAAUCACAAAUAAGUGAAUCAAGUGCCAAAGGGAAAAAACUAAGAAACAAAAAGGUGCCACAUCUGUACAGCGCCUUGAAGAUUCCAUGA